rnacentral:tRNA from 1 species
GGGCGAGUGGUGAAAUUGGUAUACACGCUAGAUUCAGGUUCUAGUGGCAGCAAUGCCGUGGAGGUUCAAGUCCUCUUUCGCCCA